rnacentral:tRNA from 1 species
GACCUUGUGGCCUUGUAGAUAAGGCGUCGCUCUUCUGAUGCGAAGAUUGCACGUUCGAGUCCUGCCUGAGUCG